AAAAUGUGUCCCUUUCAUGGUCAUUUUGCCUGGGGAAGAGCCAGGAGUCACACAGUGCCAGAUCUGGUGGCCAAGGAACUCAGGAAAAGCAGACUGCACUGUUCAGUGUCCGGGUCCUCCCUGCCCAGCUGCUGGCAGCAAAGAUUGCUGUAGACUUUCAAGGUCCAGAUACCAAGUGUGAAGGAGCAGAGCAGCCACAGGAUGGCAGCACCCUAAAGAAUAAAGGAUCACUCACUGGCGGUCCUCCUGGGAUUUGGAGAAAUCCCUGGGAACCCAGGAAAAAACUCAAAUGGAAUCACUGUGCCUCCUCCUGGAGUCCAGAAGGUGAGAGAGAGUCUUUCUGUGCAGUUUUAGGCUGGCCUUGAGCUCUCUGUGUAGCCCAUGCUGGUCUCAAUCUUGCAAGGAUCCACCUUCUUCAACCUCCCAAAUGCUGGGAUUAUAGGCACGCACCACCAUGCCCAGAUCUCUGUGGUUCUUUAGAAUCCACUCUUCGACUUCGGGGACCAUGAACUUGAGUGCAUCUGACGUCUAACAGGUUGGGAGUUACAUUUCCCCUAUGUCACUUGGAGAACUUUGUCACACUGUCCUCACCAUCCCUUUGCCACACAUUGCAUCUGUCCCUGUCCUUGCCACGGCUUCCCGGGCCUCCUCCCAGUGAGUCCCGGCUUCCCACAGGGUGAGUGCCCCCACCAUGUCACACAGUUUACAUGCAUUUUAUUCCUGGAACACCUAGUUGUG
rnacentral:lncRNA from 1 species